rnacentral:rRNA from 1 species
UACGUAGGGGGCAAGCGUUGUCCGGAUUUAUUGGGCGUAAAGAGCGUGUAGGCGGCUUUACAGGUCCGUUGUGAAAACUCGAGGCUCAACCUCGAGACGCCGGUGGAAACCGUAAAGCUAGAGUCCGGAAGAGGGGAGUGGAAUUCCUGGUGUAGCGGUGAAAUGCGCAGAUAUCAGGAAGAACACCCGUGGCGAAGGCGGCUCUCUGGGACGGUACUGACGCUGAGACGCGAAAGCGUGGGGAGCGAACAGG